UACGAAGGGGGCGAGCGUUGUUCGGAUUUACUGGGCGUAAAGGGCGCGUAGGCGGCGACUCAAGUUAGAUGUGAAAGUCCUGGGCUUAACCUGGGGACUGCAUUUGAUACUGGGUUGCUUGAAUUCGGGAGAGGAUAGCGGAAUUCCCAGUGUAGAGGUGAAAUUCGUAGAUAUUGGGAAGAACACCGGUGGCGAAGGCGGCUAUCUGGACCGACAUUGACGCUGAGGCGCGAAAGCGUGGGGAGCAAACAGG
rnacentral:rRNA from 1 species